GAUGAAGAACGUAGCGAAAUGCGAUAAGUAGUGUGAAUUGCAGAAUUCAGUGAAUCAUCGAAUCUUUGAACGCACAUUGCGCCCGCCAGCAUUCUGGCGGGCAUGCCUGUUCGAGCGUCAUUUCAACCCUCGACCUCCCCUUGGGGAGGUCGGCGUUGGGGACCGGCAGCACACCGCCGGCCCUGAAAUGGAGUGGCGGCCCGUCUGCGGCGACCUCUGCGUAGUAAUACAGCUCGCACCGGAACCCCGACGCGGCCACGCCGUAAAACACCCAACUUCUGAACGUUGACCUCGAAUCAGGUAGGACUACCCGCUGAACUUAAGCAUAUCAAUAAGCGGAGGA
rnacentral:misc_RNA from 1 species